AUGGUAGCUUUCAGAGAUGCUUUAGAAGUGUCCGGUCUGGUCGAUCUUGGAUUUUCAGGUAUCCCGUUUACAUAUGACAACAUGCGCACAGGGGCAGCUAAUGUUAAGGUUAGGCUUGAUAGGGCCACGGCAACGAAUGACUGGCGCAAUCUUUUUCCUUUCUAUACCGUCAAGCAUGUCGUCUCACCGUGCUCUGAUCAUGUGGCACUGGCCCUCCAGGGUGCCCCAGACGUGGGUCAGCGAGGACCAAAAAUAAGACGGUACGAUGUGUUUUGGGAACGGGAUGUGGAACUUCCAAAAGUGAUUAAGGAAGCUUGGAAUUCGGUUGGAAGUGUAGAUAAUCUGGACAAGCUACAAACUGCCUUAAGGAAGACUCUGGCAACUCUCAGCUCUUGG
rnacentral:rRNA from 1 species